GGCGGGAUAGCUCAGUUGGCUAGAGCGGCGGAUUCAUAACCCGCAGGUUGAGGGUUCGAACCCCUCUCCCGCCA
rnacentral:tRNA from 1 species